rnacentral:ncRNA from 1 species
UCGAACCUGGCGGGAGAGACCUGUUGCCGCGAGCACGGGCGCCGAAGGGGCAAGCCUCCCCGCAACCUCUCAGGCGAAGUGGACCGUCCAGGUGAAG